GAUGAACGCUAGCUACAGGCUUAACACAUGCAAGUCGAGGGGAAACGACAUCGAAAGCUUGCUUUUGGUGGGCGUCGACCGGCGCACGGGUGAGUAACGCGUAUCCAACCUGCCCACCACUUGGGGAUAACCUUGCGAAAGUAAGACUAAUACCCAAUGAUAUCCCACGAAGGCAUCCGAAUGGGAUUAAAGAUUUAUCGGUGAUGGAUGGGGAUGCGUCUGAUUAGCUUGUUGGCGGGGUAACGGCCCACCAAGGCAACGAUCAGUAGGGGUUCUGAGAGGAAGGUCCCCCCACAUUGGAACUGAGACACGGUCCAAACUCCUACGGGAGGCAGCAGUGAGGAAUAUUGGUCAAUGGGCGAGAGCCUGAACCAGCCAAGUAGCGUGCAGGACGACGGCCCUAUGGGUUGUAAACUGCUUUUAUAAGGGAAUAAAGUGAGUCUCGUGAGACUUUUUGCAUGUACCUUAUGAAUAAGGACUGGCUAAUUCCGUG
rnacentral:rRNA from 1 species